AUCCCCCUCCCCAUAUUCCCUCUCUUCACUAUUUCAUAUUGGUCCAGUUAAACAGCUACAGUAUAAUUUUUCAAGAAAGGAAACAGAAAUCAAAACUACUACUGUAAUACUUUCAAGCUUUCUAAAUGGUCAUAUCCUUUCUGGCUUGUAAACUUUUGUGCCUAAAAUAUAUAAAGAUAUCAAUAUAUCGAGAGAGAGACUGCAUUUUAAAGCAAAAUCUGUCAGAACUUGGAGAGAGGGAACUCUUGAUCUGGAGGAUACUAGGGAUCCCGAAAAGAAGUCCAUCUUGGAGAAGAUGCUUUGACUUGAGGAUUAGUUUAAACAGGGGGCUAUAAAAGAUGUAACAGAUGCAAACUGUAAAACACGGGCAAUUAACCAUUUAUCUGCCGGACAAAAUCUGUCUUAGCCCAAGCACCUAUUGUCUACUUCUAUACUAGAAGCUUUUCAGAAAACCUGGAAAGCAAGUAUCAGUUUCCACACAUUUGCCCAGAAGGGUGGAGGUAUAAAGGGGGUAGUGGUGGUGAUGAUAAUGGUGAGGGGGGUGUGAAGUACACAGAAAGCAUCUAAACUUCAACAUAGACUUUCAGUAAGACUUUUGCAAUCAAGCUUUUUGCUUCCCCCCAUCCCAUUUCUGAGCUCUUAUUCUUUAAUUGUGAAAAAGGAAAUGAAUUACAGAAACUCUCAUGUUAAAUGUUUGAGAUCCUAAAGCUGGCCUGCCUGUCUUCCUUCCUGACAAGUCCAUUGCAUAGAAAUACAUGUUUAACAAGCUAAACAGUUUUGUAGGAGUGUGUAUGAGGAAGAAAUGAAGAUUAAAUUUUAUCAUUGCCAAUUAGUUAUAACUCUGAAGUUAGCAAUCUCUACAUCAUUCUUAUAGAGGGAACAUAUAAAAUCCAAAAGUAGAUGUGUGUGUGUGUGUGUGUGUGUGUGCGCGCGUGUGCAUGUGUGUAAACAAAUUCAUAGAAGCUGGAGCUUUGCUCUGAUAUGGGAUUCUUAAUGUCAGACUACUGAUACUGGGGUCAUUUAAACACAAUUCUAUUUUUUUCUGUGACUAGUUAGCAUUUAAAUUUGCUCCUAAUUUAAAAUCCUAAAGUCCUGACAGCAGUUUUCUUUGCAGCUGGAGUGACACCCCCCCCCAUCUCCCUUUGGUAAAGGACUCUAAGUUCCAGUCAUUACUUUCACUUCUUUAUUUAUGAUCACAGAAGCUGGGGUGUUACUUCACACACAUCCACACAAAGAAUGAAAUAAAGAAAUGAAACUCACUAGGCAGACAAAACAGCAAACUUUUUGCUUAGAAAACAUCCCUUUUCUAUGGGAGAGGAUGGGAAACGACUUCUGGGAGAGAGGCUUUUCCUAAAUUUGCUUUCUGAAUUGACCACUGCUUUGCAAUUAUUAACAGCUGGAUCACUUUCGAUAAAACUUUUGCAAAGAUGGAAGCACUAUGGAAGCAAAAUGCACCUUAGUUACCUGGAUGAGCAGACUUCAUGUCUCACUUCAGAAUUAACUACCAUCCAAAAGGACCACGACAGAAAAAGAGGGGAAAAAAUACAAUGCAAAAAGAAAAAAAAAAUAAGGUAAAGAAAAAGAAGAACCUACCUGCGAAGUCUUGUUUGUAGUUUUGGCCAGAAAUGGUGAGAAGAAAAAGCAUGAAGAAGCCGCGAAGUGUGGGGGAGAAAAGGUGGAAGAGAAGCAGCUCCUGGAGAAAAUUGUAAAAAGCCUUGCAAAGAGUUGUCGGAAGGACCGUUAUUCCUGCUGGGCAGGUUAGGACUGAUCUCUUUCUGCCACUCCAGGAAACACAAACCUGGGGACGGACUGACGUGUUACGCCUCUUCUAAUGACAUUUUUUUCUUUUUCUUUUCUGUAGAGAAGAGAGGCGAGACCCUGAAACACGCGCCACCUAUCUUUGUGGGGAGGGAUAAUUGAAGAGCACUAAACGUGAGCAUCAUGUGAAAACGUGAUCGCCAAGUUUCUCUCUGGGAAAGGAUCUGGGAUAGAUUAUACCUUGAAGUCUCCGCAAACGCUUUAGUGGAAGAAAUGAAAUUCCACCUCCCUCCCUUCCUCCCUCCCUUUCUCCCUCCCUUUCUCCCUCCCUCCCUCCCUUUCCCUCCCCCUCCUCCCCCUACUUCCCCCCUCCCUAACCAUCAAGUCUUUGGCAUCAUUAUCCUCUUCACUAAAUCCUACUGGAUACAAGGCGGAAAACGGUGAACACCAUUCACAGAACUGGAGCACUCAAAGGAACCGAAAGUUAAAGGCAAAGAUCCUGUGUCUUCAAUCAAGAUCUCUUCUUCUUACAAAGAUAUCUCUAAUGGCCAGAUUUCAGAUGCACAUUAACUUGUGUGGAUUUCUCAGCACGGCUCCCAGCACUAAAGUCUUUGCCCUUUUCUCUAAGAUUUUCUUUUCUUUUCAGAUGCCAAAACCAUGUAAUAAAAUUAUAUGAAGAAACUAAA